rnacentral:rRNA from 1 species
UACGUAGGGUGCAAGCGUUAAUCGGAAUUACUGGGCGUAAAGCGUGCGCAGGCGGUUUUGUAAGUCUGAUGUGAAAUCCCCGGGCUCAACCUGGGAAUUGCAUUCGAGACUGAAUAGCUAGGGUACGGUAGAGGGAAGUGGAAUUUCCGGUGUAGCGGUGAAAUGCGUAGAUAUCGGAAGGAACAUCAGUGGCGAAAGCGACUUCCUGGACCAGUACCGACGUUCAGGCACGAAAGCGUGGGGAGCAAACAGG